rnacentral:tmRNA from 1 species
GGGGGUGAUCGGUUUCGACCGUGUAGUUGGACGCUGAGGAAGGGUGUCGAGGAUGUCGGUGACCUCGUGAAUCAUCCGGCAAAAUCAUACAUGCUGAAAACCGUUACGCUCUCGCAGCCUAAUUAGUGCUCCGAGCGUGCUGCAUUUCUCGCCUGAGGGAAUGCAGAGCGAAAUGAUGAUCGGGCUGGCACGCAUGCCCCGCCGCGGGGCUGCGCGCGAGACCAAGCGGAUCGUUGCAGGCGAGCCUGUCUGUUGGCGCGCCUGUGAUCAGAAACAAUAGACAGACUACGCACCUAGAUGCCUCAUCGGUCGGUUAUGCGGCACGCGGGUUCGAUUCCCGCCACCUCCACCA